GCGGUGUAUCCGUCGUGGUGUCGCCGAUUCCGAAUCGUCGCCGAGCCAGAGCACGCCGGUCGCGUUGACGCCGUUCUUGGGAUGGCGGAACCCAACCGAACCGAACCGGGAGGGGCAGGUCGAAGCUGCCUUCCACUAUCGACUCGAGAGGAGGGGGUUAGGAGAUUAGCAGGAAAAGCAUCAACUUUAAAUCCGACCUACACCACCCCUACCCAAACUAGGGAACGGGCACCUGAACCCUCCCACGCUUCUACCCCCCUAAAGAAGGGUUAGCCCUACCUCUGCCCCUCAAAGAAAAAAAAUCGUCCCCCUACCCCCACCACCGCCAGAGAGCCAACCGUAAUCGGUCCCGCCGACAGACGGACAGAGCCUUAACCAAAUCUCAUGUUUCACCUAAAUUAAAGAAGAGAUCACUUCUUUCUGAAAGAAGCUCCCGUGGAUAGAUGAAGAAAGGCUUGACAAAGUCUCAUUAUAUCAUAACAAUGAGAAACUAAAGUCACACGUUCAAUUGCAAACACAACGAUUGUGUGUGUUUUUUUGCAAACACAACGAAGUGAAGAGACGUACGGUGUCCAUGAUUGUUAACAUUAGAUCGACGUGAAGUAGUGUUUAAGUUACCGUCUAGCGACCGACCUCGACGGGUUAGACCGGGACGUUCACCACCCCUAGAAUGGCCUCCAGGUCUCCGGAUCGUCGUACCAGGGAGCGACGGUCUUCCACCGAAUGUGCCGGCAAAGGGAGGAGUAGAUGGAACAGCCGUCGGUUGACGGACACAUACCUAUACCUCAGGCAAGAGGUAGCCAACGACUGAGAUGACCCAACUGUACGGGCUGACGUUGAGGCAGUACAGACGACCCUAGUACGGGGAGCAAGACAGACUCCGCCACGAAGUAAAGGACGACACCACAUUCCAAGAAUCUCGUUUGUUAGGACUCCUGGCCUACGAGGACUCAGCCCACGUCUUCAACCAACCCUAUUAAAAACGGCGACUAAAGAGUCAGACGUCCCACGAUUAAAGUGGAUAGAACCCGUUUGACUGGAAUCCCGUCAGUUAAGACUAGCACGAAGUCGUAAAGAAACCUUCACAGUAGCAGUAAAUAGAACUACUAGAGGAAUUUUUCCCUAUACCCAAAGAAAGCUCAUAGGGGAACAAGUCACGGUGGCUGUAAACAUGUUCAUAAAAGACCUUUCGAAAAUCGGGGACAUAGUAUUUCGAUAUGCCACCCGUCGUACCACUAGUUGUACCCCUUCGAGAGUGAAGGAGGGAAUAAGUAGCUAAGCAACCAUUACCUUUGAUGUUUAACAGAAGCUACGUAUUCCACAUGCCUACAGCUCUGGAGGGCCUCUACCGAUCACACGAAAGGUGCACGCGGAAGAAAGAUGAGCAGGAGUCGGACGUUCCGAAGGUACGGUGCAACGGUGACUCUAGGUCACUCCACGGAUCAUACGUUUACUUGAUACGGUAGUUCGAAAGGAUGGACAGGAAACGUGGGGAUGAGAAGGUCCUACAUUACCGGUAUAAGGAUAUGUAGUAGAGUCUCAACCACAUGCACUUCAAACCACUUUUCUUGUUCCACCAGUAAAACGACCCGUUUACCUUCUUUAGGUCUAUAAAACCCGUUCGUCAAGGUCAGUCACCGAAUCGGAUGAUGCAAUGAUGUGGUGGUUGGAACCGACUUCAUCCUUCUGUGGGUAAGGAGUGUGACCAAAUACGCGACACCGUCGAAGACCCCACACCGGAAUGCAGUAAAUUGGAAAAGUCACAAACAAGUGUAAGUCUCGACAUGCAACCGUCCAACGAACCCCUCGCUGCUUUACAUUGUCAGCGGGUCGGCCUGAGACAAGGAGACGUCGAUACCUCCACGAUACAUCCGUUCCGUCGCAAAGAACAUCCUGAGACGUAACCACGUGAAUGCGAAGACCGUCCGGAACGACCGCACCAGCCGAGACCGUGGCCCUAGUACAAGCGGGAGUGACAGAACAUGAGCACGAACCUUCUCUGGUCAAUAUCUCCUCCCGGUCGACCACGGAAACCAAAGAUUCUCAUACUAUCCUAGGUGCUUGCGGAGUCAAAGUCAGACCACAACAAACUCAAUCACAACAAUAUCACAAUAUAUUGCAAUGACCAGAAGGGAGAGUGCUAAUAGUGUCUAUCUGAUCUCUAUGAUCUUACGGGCACUCAACGAUGCCCGAAAAUUUUUUUUAAUUCCCACGCAAACCUUCGGUUUCAUAAAAACACCAAAAGACCUUAUGACACCAAAGACCUUUUUUGAAACCAUAAAUUAUGAAACUCAGCAAACCUACUUUUUUUAUGACGUCAAGUUGUUUGGCACCAUAGAGAUUUUGACACCAUAAAAACAACAUAUAUUUUUUCUCCGGGAUUGGAGAAGAAAAUUUUGGCU
rnacentral:rRNA from 1 species